rnacentral:lncRNA from 1 species
CAAAAGAAGAUUCAAAUUUAUAUCCAAGUUCAUACUUCUCUGCCCCAUUUCCGUACCUCUUGAACUAGACACUGAGCUUUACUCAACUUUAUUUGGAAAACGCAGCUCAUUCUUGAAGCAGAAGACCCUGAGCUUUUUGUGGCUUCCUAGUGUUCAGUGCUCACCAUAAUCUGUAUCCUUAGACCUUCAUGCAAACAGGACCAUGGUUAUGGUGGUGGGUGGUGCCUAUGGUGCUGGAGUGAACACAAGGAGAUGAGGCAGAUGUCCAAGGACAAUCAAAGAGAGAAGAAAGUUUAAGCCAACGUUUGCCUAUCUCAUAUUCUCUGCUUGAUCCUCAGCCUCAAAGACAACGCACAGCUGCUGCACUUCAAGGUCUAGAGGCUGAUCCCAACUCCCAGGCUGCCCCCACACCCCUGCUUAUUCUCUGAGAGCUGGGCUCAGCUUUCCUAUCAAGCCGCCCUUGCAGGUCAUCUUGUUGGAGAGAGUGGGGCUUCUUGGUGACUUUUCGAUAUUCUGAACACUCACAAUGUUUAGAUCAAAAUUCCACAGUGUGUGAUAAUCAUAAGAUUCGGGACUGAAAAAGCCUUUCUAGGACAACCCUAAAUGGGCCAGCUUAUCAGGAGACAAGAUAAGUGGUGGCCAAAACAGCGUGUCCUUAGAGGUAAGAAAUCAUCAGUUCAAAUACAAAGUGAAGAAAAGAGGAGCAAUCCAUGUGAAAUCUAAAUGCUGCGGAUUUACUCUCAAAGCUGCGGACAUUUU